UGGGGAAUAUUGGACAAUGGGGGAAACCCUGAUCCAGCCAUGCCGCGUGCGUGAAGAAGGCCUCAGGGUUGUAAAGCGCUUUCGGCGGGGAAGAUGAUGACGGUACCCGCAGAAGAAGCCCCGGCUAACUCCGUGCCAGCAGCCGCGGUGAUACGGAGGGGGCAAGCGUUGUUCGGAAUUACUGGGCGUAAAGGGCGCGUAGGCGGGCGAUCAAGUCAGAUGUGAAAGCCCACGGCUUAACCGUGGAACUGCAUUUGAAACUGGUAGACUUGAGUAUGAGAAGGGGUAGUGGAAUUCCCAGUGUAGCGGUGAAAUGCGUAGAUAUUGGGAAGAACACCAGUAGCGAAGGCGGCUACCUGGCUCAUUACUGACGCUAAUGCGCGAAAGCGCGGGGAGCAAACAGGAUUAGAUACCCUGGUAGUCCGCGCCGUAAACGAUGGAUACUAGAUGUUGGUUGUUUUAUAACGAUCAGUGUCGCAGCUAACGCAUUAAGUAUCCCGCCUGGGGAGUACGAUCGCAAGGUUG
rnacentral:rRNA from 1 species